rnacentral:rRNA from 1 species
AUUGAACGCUGGCGGCAGGCCUAACACAUGCAAGUCGAGCGGAUGAAGGGAGCUUGCUCCUGGAUUCAGCGGCGGACGGGUGAGUAAUGCCUAGGAAUCUGCCUGGUAGUGGGGGAUAACGUCAGGACACGGGCGCUAAUACCGCAUACGUCCUGAGGGAGAAAGUGGGGGAUCUUCGGACCUCACGCUAUCAGAUGAGCCUAGGUCGGAUUAGCUAGUUGGUGGGGUAAAGGCCUACCAAGGCGACGAUCCGUAACUGGUCUGAGAGGAUGAUCAGUCACACUGGAACUGAGACACGGUCCAGACUCCUACGGGAGGCAGCAGUGGGGAAUAUUGGACAAUGGGCGAAAGCCUGAUCCAGCCAUGCCGCGUGUGUGAAGAAGGUCUUCGGAUUGUAAAGCACUUUAAGUUGGGAGGAAGAGCAGUAAGUUAAUACCUGGCUGUUUUGACGGUACCAACAGAAUAAGCACCGGCUAACUACGUG